rnacentral:misc_RNA from 1 species
GUAGGUGAACCUGCGGAAGGAUCAUUACCAAAUCCAAAAUCAACCCCUGUGAACUUGUAUUGUCUGUCUUUGGGGGGAAGGCCCUGUGUUUUCCCCCCAUAUUAAUUGAACAACUUUGAUCUUUUGUUGGAAUAUCUUUUAUUAAUUUUAAUAAAUGACAACUUUUAACGGUGGAUCUCUUGGCUCGU